rnacentral:rRNA from 1 species
UACGUAGGGACCAAGCGUUGUUCGGAUUUACUGGGCGUAAAGGGCGCGUAGGCGGCAAUUCAAGUCAUCUGUGAAAUCCCCGGGCUUAACCUGGGAACUGCAUUGGUGACUGCAUUGCUGGAGUAUGGCAGAGGGGGGUGGAAUUCCACGUGUAGCAGUGAAAUGCGUAGAGAUGUGGAGGAACACCGAUGGCGAAGGCAGCCCCCUGGGCCAAUACUGACGCUCAUGCACGAAAGCGUGGGGAGCAAACAGG